rnacentral:rRNA from 1 species
AUGGUUUCAGCCACGACAAGGUGCCAUGGCGGUAGCUCCUUCUCACCUUGGCUCAUAGAUCCAACAGAAGCACCCUCCAGGCUCUCCUGUGGCUCUUAUGCUUGCUGGCUGGAUUGGCAGGAGCUACAGCACCUCCGGUGGCAUGGCCAUGGGGAUGGAGAGUAUAACAGGAUGGGCAAGCAAGGACAUGUCUGCAUUCAUCAACUUGGGUUCUUCUUCUUUGAUCCGAUGGCGUGCCCCAGGCAUCCAUUCUGUUUGUCAGGUGGCUUAUCCAAUGAUGGUGCAUCACAAUCUCUUGCUCCCAUGGCGAAAUAUUCGCAGGCUACUUGUCAUUUUCCACCUUCAGAUUCAAAAGGACUGGCAGAUCUUAAGGAUACCCCAGAAGAGGUUGUCUUGGAUUUAGGUUCACAUGUAAACCACUCAUCAUAUCAGGCGCUAGGAGUGGGUAGUUCUGUUUCAGACCCACUGCUUGCACCGCCCCUUCAAGCCCACAGUCAUGGUGGUGAGAUUGUGGCCAGCAAUCAUGCUGUCAGAAGCGGUGAGCAGGUGAAUAUAUGGUGGUUUCUGAUGAUGCAUCAACACUUCCGAAAGACACGCCUCAAUCUUCUGGUUCAUCCUCUACUGUGCUACCAUUUGGUAGCAGGCCAUCUUCUAGCUACAGUAGUCGCUCACAGUGGCCAAGUGGCUCGCAGAAAAGGGCCUGGACCGCAGCCACAGGAGGGCGAGAAGACGAACGGGUGGUGUAAAACUGAGUUUGUCCUGGUGUAUUGGUUGCUGCUGAAUGUGAUGUCUGGUGGUGUGGAUCAUCAGCUCUGGGGGCAAGGGCAUGACUGA